rnacentral:tRNA from 1 species
GGUGGCUCAGUGGUAGAGUACUUGCCUUGCAUGCAUGAGACUCUGGGUUCAAUUCCUCAGCACCA